rnacentral:rRNA from 1 species
AUAUUGCACAAUGGGCGCAAGCCUGAUGCAGCCAUGCCGCGUGUAUGAAGAAGGCCUUCGGGUUGUAAAGUACUUUCAGCGAGGAGGAAGGCAUUAAGGUUAAUAACCUUGGUGAUUGACGUUACUCGCAGAAUAAGCACCGGCUAACUCUGUGCCAGCAGCCGCGGUAAUACGGAGGGUGCAAGCGUUAAUCGGAAUUACUGGGCGUAAAGCGCACGCAGGCGGCGUGUCAAGUCGGAUGUGAAAUCCCCGGGCUCAAUCCGGGAACUGCAUUCGAAACUGGCAUGCUAAAGUCUUGUAGAGGGGGGUAGAAUUUCAGGUGUAGCGGUGAAAUGCGUAGAGAUCUGGAGGAAUACCGGUGGCGAAGGCGGCCCCCUGGACAAAGACUGACGCUCAGGUGCGAAAGCGUGGGGAGCAAAC